CGGAACGUACCCUAGAGUGGGGGAUAACGUAGCGAAAGUUACGCUAAUACCGCAUACGAUCUAAGGAUGAAAGUGGGGGAUCGCAAGACCUCAUGCUCGUGGAGCGGCCGAUAUCUGAUUAGCUAGUUGGUAGGGUAAAAGCCUACCAAGGCAUCGAUCAGUAGCUGGUCUGAGAGGACGACCAGCCACACUGGAACUGAGACACGGUCCAGACUCCUACGGGAGGCAGCAGUGGGGAAUUUUGGACAAUGGGCGAAAGCCUGAUCCAGCAAUGCCGCGUGAGUGAAGAAGGCCUUCGGGUUGUAAAGCUCUUUUGUCAGGGAAGAAACGGUGAAAGCUAAUAUCUUUUGCUAAUGACGGUACCUGAAGAAUAAGCACCGGCUAACUACGUGCCAGCAGCCGCGGUAAUACGUAGGGUGCAAGCGUUAAUCGGAAUUACUGGGCGUAAAGCGUGCGCAGGCGGUUUUGUAAGUCUGAUGUGAAAUCCCCGGGCUCAACCUGGGAAUUGCAUUGGAGACUGCAAGGCUAGAAUCUGGCAGAGGGGGGUAGAAUUCCACGUGUAGCAGUGGAAUGCGUAGAUAUGUGGAGGAACACCGAUGGCGAAGGCAGCCCCCUGGGUCAAGAUUGACGCUCAUGCACGAAAGCGUGGGGAGCAAACAGGAUUAGAUACCCUGGUAGUCCACGCCCUUAACGAUGUCUACUAGUUGUCG
rnacentral:rRNA from 1 species